rfam:Myotis davidii contig139515, whole genome shotgun sequence.
GCCGGUGUGGCUAAGUGGUUUGAGCAUCAGCCUGAGCACUGAAGAGUCACAGGUUCAAGUCCUGGUCAAGGGCA